CAAUAGCGUAUAUUAAAGUUGUUGCAGUUAAAAAGCUCGUAGUUGGAUUUCUGAUCGAGACAUCAGGUCGGGUCCGAGAGGAUCAUGUACUUUGAUUUUGUUUUGAUCAUCCUUGGGGAGAGCAUUUCUGGCAUUCAGUUGUCGGGAUUGGGAUCCUCAUCGUUUACUGUGAAAAAAUUAGAGUGUUCAAAGCAGGCCUCGGCCUCUGAAUACAUUAGCAUGGAAUAAUAAGAUAGGACUUUGGUGGUCUAUUUUGUUGGUUUGCACGCCAAAGUAAUGAUUAAUAGGGAUAGUUGGGGGUAUUCGUAUUCAAUUGUCAGAGGUGAAAUUCUUGGAUUUAUGGAAGACGAACUACUGCGAAAGCAUUUACCAAGGAUGUUUUCAUAAA
rnacentral:rRNA from 1 species